AACGAACGCUGGCGGCAUGCCUAACACAUGCAAGUCGAACGAGACCUUCGGGUCUAGUGUCGCACGGGUGCGUAACGCGUGGGAACCUUCCCUUAGGUUCGGAAUAACUCAGAGAAAUUUGAGCUAAUACCGGAUAAUGUCUUCGGACCAAAGAUUUAUCGCCUUUGGAUGGGCCCGCGUAGGAUUAGCUUGUUGGUUGGGUAAUGGCCUACCAAGGCGACGAUCCUUAGCUGGUAUGAGAGGAUGAUCAGCGACACUGGGACUGAGACACGGCCCAGACUCCUACGGGAGGCAGCAGUGGGGAAUAUUGGACAAUGGGCGAAAGCAUGAUCCAGCAAUGCCGCGUGAGUGAUGAAGGCAUUAGGGUUGUAAAGCGCUUUUACCAGGGAUGAUAAUGACAGUACCUGGAGAAUAAGCUCCGACUAACUACGUG
rnacentral:rRNA from 1 species